rnacentral:lncRNA from 1 species
UCGGUGGGUCCUGUCCCGUCGUUGAAGCUCGUCUGGGAUCCGACUACGAAGAAGCUCGGCUGAAGUCUACUUGUAAUGAAAGUUCGGAAGAAAUGUAUUUACAAUAGGGGCUCGAAUGGAAUUUACUUACAGUAGAGAUCCGGAGUAGACCGUCCAUUGUAGGAGUUCGGGGUAGACCGCUCGUAGUAGAAGUUCGGCUUUCAUAGGAGCCCGGUUGGAAUCCUGAAGGCGGUCGACCGCCGCAGAAACUCGGAUGGAGUGAUUACCGUAGAAACCUCGUUGUCGAAGAAGCUCAGAAAUUGGUGAAGUCCGGAAGGAGUUCGGAGAAU